GCACAAGUGGUGGAGCAUGUGGUUUAAUUCGAAGCAACGCGAAGAACCUUACCAGGUCUUGACAUCCAGAGAACUUAGCAGAGAUGCUUUGGUGCCUUCGGGAACUCUGAGACAGGUGCUGCAUGGCUGUCGUCAGCUCGUGUUGUGAAAUGUUGGGUUAAGUCCCGCAACGAGCGCAACCCUUAUCCUUUGUUGCCAGCGGUUCGGCCGGGAACUCAAAGGAGACUGCCAGUGAUAAACUGGAGGAAGGUGGGGAUGACGUCAAGUCAUCAUGGCCCUUACGAGUAGGGCUACACACGUGCUACAAUGGCGUAUACAAAGAGAAGCGACCUCGCGAGAGCAAGCGGACCUCAUAAAGUACGUCGUAGUCCGGAUUGGAGUCUGCAACUCGACUCCAUGAAGUCGGAAUCGCUAGUAAUCGUAGGUCAGAAUGCUACGGUGAAUACGUUCCCGGGC
rnacentral:rRNA from 1 species